rnacentral:lncRNA from 1 species
AGGUCCAACCUUAGAUUAAGGGUAGAGAAGAUUGCAAAUGAGGGUAAAAGGGUUGAGAUAGCAGAGAUUCCCCUGUCUAGCUCUACAAUAGUCUCACAUCUGGGCAGAUUGGGGAAGAAGACUAUGGUGAAGGAGGUUAGAAGGCAAAAUCUAGCAAAUGUAUCAUCUCAUGGUGAAGCCUUGGCAUCGGAUCUAAAGAAGAAAGGCCUAAACGGUUUGCCUC